AGACGGGCCUGACCUUGGCUAGGCCAGCGGUGGCAGCGCGCACCAGCGACGCACCAAUAGGCGGCGUCGCAGCGGCGCCGCGGCGCGCCGCGCCUCGCCGCAGUCGGAGCACAGUCGCCGUCACGGGAGGGUCAGUCGUGUUCCAGCGCCGGCGCCGCCCCGCCCCUGUGACUCAUUGCCGGCGUGGUGCGCUGUUGGACGCUGUGGCACGCUGCAGGCCGAUCAGUGACCGGUGACGGGCGGGCGCACUGCUGCCUAGGACCUGCCGCGGAGAGCUCCGGUGCUCGGACGUGCUCCAGUGAACUCAGGCGUGCUCCGACGUGUCUCAGCGUGCUCUUACGUCAACAUCACCCCCGGGCGUGCUCUGUGAGCCGCGCGUCUCGUUCCGUGUGCCUUUCUGUACCGCCGUACCGCCUCAAACGACCCGAGCAUGUCCGUGCCCGGAUACCACAUGGUGAGCGCCCUCCAGGCCAAAGACUCGCGCUGGCUCCAACUCGAGGUAUGCCGCGAGUUUCAGCGCAACAAGUGCAGCCGCAGCGACGCCGAGUGCAAGUUCGCGCACCCCGUGCCGCACGUAGAGGUGCAGAACGGAAAGGUGACCGCCUGCUUCGACUCAAUCAAGGGCCGAUGUAACCGGGAGAAGCCGCCUUGCAAGUACUUCCACCCGCCACAGCACCUCAAAGAGCAGCUGCUCAUCAACGGCAAGAACAACCUGGCGUUCAAGAACGCGCUCAUGCAGCAGCUGGCCGCGGGCGGCCUGGCCCUCCAUGCUACAGCACCGAUGGCGUCACCUGCCGGUCAAAUGUACGCCGGCCUGAGCCAGUACUAUACGCUAGCAGCGAGCCCUCCUGUCGGCGAUACCGCCAUGGUGGCGUCAUUGCCGAUGCAACAGAUGCAGCAGAAACUGCCCACCGACCGGCUGGAGGGAGAACCAGUCUACGAUUCUUCAAUGUACUAUCAGUUCCCGCCGAUGGGCGUCACCUACAAACGGCCGUCGGGCGACAAAGGCUCCGUGUCGUACUACACACCCACUCCCAGCCUGGCCGCCUACCAGCAGGCGAUGCUGCUCCAGCAGCAACAACAGCAGCAGCAGCAGCAGCAGACGUACCUGCAGCAGGCUGCGUUCGGUGCGCCGCCGCCGAGUGUGCCGCGGUACUCCACCUACUGAGCUGGGACCGUCCGGUGGAGCCAGUGCUGCCGACCACCGACCGGUGAGCUCCGGAGCUGCAGCAGCGGCCGGAGGUCUGUAUUUGUCCGCCCUGAGCAGUAGGGCAUUGUUUUAGUGACUUUCGGCCGGCAGUCAUGUCAACCGUUCAGCGGACCUCGCUCGGACGACCCGUGGCGCCACCUACAGAGGUGUCGGAGCUCCCAGCGGCUCUGAAUGGUCCCGGGGAGAAGGGGUAGGGGCGUGGCCCGGGCCUCCUCCGAGAUUGGUGAUGCCGCUGAGGAAGGUGUUUGGGUGUGCGAGGUGAAGGCCUCUCUGGUUAGCCCUCGGUGCAGCCAGGGGCCCUGGUCACUCGUCACGAGCGAGAGGCUGACUGAAAGAGGCGUCACUCCCGGCCGAUGCCGUGACGCAGUCGUCACUGACGUCCGUCACGGUCGGUCGCACGUGCGGCGGAGGCCAGCUGAAUCUAGUCGUGACCUAGGUGACGCGGCCGCCGCGCCGCUGCUCGGGCUGAAGUCGCUCGGCGGUCUGCCGCGCGAGGCGUCAGCCGAGGCGUGGGUGGUUCGUGUCCAGGGCGCACGUCCGUGGCGAGCGCGAAUCAUAUCGCCAAGAAGCGGACGGUGUGACGGCCGGACGGGCCAGCGACUGCCGUUGUUUUCGAAUUUCCCUGUGGUUGUUUUUAGAUUUUGUCGUCGUGUGGGAAGAGGUUGAGCGGCGCCCAGGUUUUCAGUGCGACGAACGACCAUAGAGGGCUGUGAAGGAACCCGUCGGGUUGAGGAGUCAGCUGCGCUGGGUCCGGUGGGAGCGGGUCUGUCACCACGGUCUGACCGGAGGUGGGAGACGCGUGUCAUUCUUCGGAAACGAGCGUGGUGUUGGAGGAACGUAGGGCUGGGUGUCACAGGUGGCGCUGUGGUGUGUAUGGAUAUAUAUGUAGGUGACGCUAUAGUCAACGUGAACCCCUGUAUUGGUGCCUCGACGGGACUGUAACAUCUUGCAGUGACAUCAAAAGUUUGGAGGUUUGAUAGCGCGAGAACGAGUUUUGUUCUCGACUUUGAUGCGUCCAGUGGGCUCAGAACUGGUUCAACGUUUUUGCAACAUGUUUUCCAAGCCCGCGCACCUAAAAUCAAACUUUUUUAUCCCCUUGUAGUGUGGCGUUGUUUGUCUGGAGGAGACAUUCCCUGUUUUGUUCUAUUUCCGGUUCCAUUGUAACCGAUUGAUACACUUGUGCCUGCCAUGUAUUCGUGUGGGUAGUGUUAUGCCACCGAUAGGCGAACACGUGAUGAUAGCCGUGAGUCUUUUGUGCGUCAAUCGGUAGGCCAGGACUGUGUGGAAACGUCAUCGUAGGUAUAGAUUCAGUAGGUUCGUCAUCUUGACAUGCAUGCGAGAGAACCAAUAAAUUAAUUGUUCA